UUUCUUUAUUUCCUUCUUCCCCAAAACCGUCGAUCCACCUUCUCUUCCCCGACCCUUCUUCUCGAUCUCUUCUCCUCUCCACCGAAUCUCUCUCGCGUUGUCGCCGAUCUCCGCGAGCUCACCGCCGGCGGAGGUUUUCCUCUCUGGAGUCUCACCAACGUCAGGAUCCCUGGCUACCGGGCGGCUCGAUCCUCUCCUCCCUCCUCCUCUCAUGUCUCUGCCCUAGAUCAUCGACGCGCCAGUUCUUGGCGAUCGGCGAUUCUUUCCCGUCUCUUGGUGUUGCCGGCGAGGAGUGGAUCUUGGAGCUUCGAAGGGGUUAAAGCUAAGUCGGGUCUUUGGUGUCCUUCGACUCUCUGAUUUGUGCCUUAGUGCGAAGCUUCUUUUCCGAUUCUUGCUCUCUUCCUCAUUGAUGGUUGGCGAUCUCGGGUUAGGUCGUAGAUCCCUUUCUCCUUGUUGAUUGAGAGGCAGAGGAAUUCCGAGAACAUAGAAUCGAAUCGGGUGACACCUCCUGGAGACAAUCGGUUGAGUGAGGACCUGCUCUGUGGAUUUCAAAUUGAAUGCUGUGAGUUCUUGAUUCCAGCAAUUUCUUGGUCUCGGCAGCAACAAUCCUCUUGUCCCAAUAGCCACAGUAGCUGUGGAAUUGAGGACUCUGAUUCGAGACGGGCGUCUCGACCUGGGAUUGCUUGAUUGUACCUUCUAUUUGAGG